rnacentral:rRNA from 1 species
CGGAGCUUGCUCCGCGGAUCAGUGGCGAACGGGUGAGUAACACGUGAGCAACCUACCCCUGACUCUGGGAUAACAGUUGGAAACAGCUGCUAAUACCGGAUACGACCUCAGCAGGCAUCUGCCGAGGUGGAAAGCUCCGACGGUCAGGGAUGGGCUCGCGGCCUAUCAGCUUGUUGGUGAGGUAACGGCUCACCAAGGCGACGACGGGUAGCCGGCCUGAGAGGGCGACCGGCCACACUGGGACUGAGAUACGGCCCAGACUCCUACGGGAGGCAGCAGUGGGGAAUAUUGCACAAUGGGCGCAAGCCUGAUGCAGCAACGCCGCGUGCGGGAUGACGGCCUUCGGGUUGUAAACCGCUUUCAGCAGGGACGAAGCUAACGUGACGGUACCUGCAGAAGAAGCACCGGCUAACUACGUGCCAGCAGCCGCGGUGAUACGUAGGGUGCGAGCGUUGUCCGGAUUUAUUGGGCGUAAAGAGCUUGUAGGCGGUUUGUUGCGUCGGAAGUGAAAACUCAGAGCUUAACUCUGAGCCUGCUUUCGAUACGGGCAGACUUGAGGGAUGUAGGGGAGAACGGAAUUCCUGGUGGAGCGGUGGAAUGCGCAGAUAUCAGGAGGAACACCAGUGGCGAAGGCGGUUCUCUGGACAUUUCCUGACGCUGAGAAGCGAAAGCGUGGGGAGCAAACAGGCUUAGAUACCCUGGUAGUCCACGCCGUAAACGGUGGGCACUAGGUGUGGGACCCUUCCACGGGUUCCGUGCCGUAGCUAACGCAUUAAGUGCCCCGCCUGGGGAGUACGGCCGCAAGGCUAAAACUCAAAGGAAUUGACGGGGGCCCGCACAAGCGGCGGAGCAUGCGGAUUAAUUCGAUGCAACGCGAAGAACCUUACCUGGGUUUGACAUAUACCGGAAACAUCUGGAGACAGGUGCCCCGCAAGGUCGGUAUACAGGUGGUGCAUGGCUGUCGUCAGCUCGUGUCGUGAGAUGUUGGGUUAAGUCCCGCAACGAGCGCAACCCUCGUUCUAUGUUGCCAGCGGAUAAUGCCGGGAACUCAUAGAAGACUGCCGGGGUCAACUCGGAGGAAGGUGGGGAUGACGUCAAGUCAUCAUGCCCCUUAUGUCCAGGGCUUCACGCAUGCUACAAUGGCUGGUACAAAGGGCUGCGAUAUCGCAAGAUGGAGCGAAUCCCAUAAAGCCAGUCUCAGUUCGGAUUGGGGUCUGCAACUCGACCCCAUGAAGUCGGAGUCGCUAGUAAUCGCAGAUCAGCAACGCUGCGGUGAAUACGUUCCCGGGCCUUGUACACACCGCCAGUCAAGUCAUG